rnacentral:lncRNA from 1 species
CGCCACUUAUCAUACACGAGAAAGAGUUUCUUAUGAAAUUUCUCCAUGCACAAGAGAAGCCAUGCCUCUUCUCUUCUCAUGCGUAGAGUGGAUAGGAAUGAGUUGGUUGUUAUUUAAAUUCAAAUUCGAUUUGAAUUUAAAUGAGCAACCACUUAUCUUUAUCCUCUCACGCGGUAAAAACUCUGCAAAGAUAGGUCUUGCAUCAUUUUAAAAAGGAGAUAAGAGAGGGCAUGUGCACAGAUGAUCAAAAAAAAAGGGUGGCAUGAGAGAGGUUUCUGGUGUGAGAAAAGAAAAGAAAAGAAGAGAAAAAAGGAGAGAGAAGUGGGCGCACUCUUUUCUUGUGUACCCUAGGGUUUUGGCUUAGGGUUCGAGAAG